rnacentral:rRNA from 1 species
UGGAUCCAGACUUUGAUUCUGGCUCAGGACGAACGCUGGCGGCGUGCUUAACACAUGCAAGUCGAACGGGGAACUUAUUUCGGUAAGUUCUUAGUGGCGAACGGGUGAGUAACGCGUGGGCAACCUGCCCUCCAGUUGGGGACAACAUUCCGAAAGGGAUGCUAAUACCGAAUGUGCUCCCUCCUCCGCACGGAGGAGGGAGGAAAGAUGGCCUCUGCUUGCAAGCUAUCGCUGGAAGAUGGGCCCGCGUCUGAUUAGCUAGUUGGUGGGGUAACGGCUCACCAAGGCGAUGAUCAGUAGCCGGUCUGAGAGGAUGAACGGCCACAUUGGGACUGAGACACGGCCCAAACUCCUACGGGAGGCAGCAGUGGGGAAUCUUCCGCAAUGGACGAAAGUCUGACGGAGCAACGCCGCGUGAGUGAUGAAGGUCUUCGGAUUGUAAAACUCUGUUGUUAGGGACGAAAGCACCGUGUUCGAACAGGUCAUGGUGUUGACGGUACCUAACGAGGAAGCCACGGCUAACUACGUGCCAGCAGCCGCGGUAAUACGUAGGUGGCAAGCGUUGUCCGGAAUUAUUGGGCGUAAAGAGCAUGUAGGCGGGCUUUUAAGUCUGACGUGAAAAUGCGGGGCUUAACCCCGUAUGGCGUUGGAUACUGGAAGUCUUGAGUGCAGGAGAGGAAGGGGGAAUUCCCAGUGUAGCGGUGAAAUGCGUAGAUAUUGGGAGGAACACCAGUGGCGAAGGCGCCUUUCUGGACUGUGUCUGACGCUGAGAUGCGAAAGCCAGGGUAGCAAACGGGAUUAGAUACCCCGGUAGUCCUGGCCGUAAACGAUGGAUACUAGGUGUAGGAGGUAUCGACCCCUUCUGUGCCGGAGUUAACGCAAUAAGUAUCCCGCCUGGGGACUACGAUCGCAAGAUUGCAACUCAAAUGAAUUGACGGA